GGUUAAGCGACUAAGCGUACACGGUGGAUGCCCUGGCAGUCAGAGGCGAUGAAGGACGUGCUAAUCUGCGAAAAGCGUCGGUAAGGUGAUAUGAACCGUUAUAGCCGGCGAUGUCCGAAUGGGGAAACCCAGUGCAAUUCGUUGCACUAUCGUUAACUGAAUACAUAGGUUAACGAGGCGAACCGGGGGAACUGAAACAUCUAAGUACCCCGAGGAAAAGAAAUCAACCGA
rnacentral:rRNA from 3 species